rnacentral:rRNA from 1 species
AUAACCCUUUGUUGUCCGACUCUGUUGCCUCCGGGGCGACCCUGCCUUCGGGCGGGGGCUCCGGGUGGACACUUCAAACUCUUGCGUAACUUUGCAGUCUGAGUAAACUUAAUUAAUAAAUUAAAACUUUUAACAACGGAUCUCUUGGUUCUGGCAUCGAUGAAGAACGCAGCGAAAUGCGAUAAGUAAUGUGAAUUGCAGAAUUCAGUGAAUCAUCGAAUCUUUGAACGCACAUUGCGCCCCCUGGUAUUCCGGGGGGCAUGCCUGUUCGAGCGUCAUUUCACCACUCAAGCCUCGCUUGGUAUUGGGCAACGCGGUCCGCCGCGUGCCUCAAAUCGUCCGGCUGGGUCUUCUGUCCCCUAAGCGUUGUGGAAACUAUUCGCUAAAGGGUGUUCGGGAGGCUACGCCGUAAAACAACCCCAUUUCUAAGGUUGACCUCGGAUCAGGUAGGGAUACCCGCUGAACUUAAGCAUAUCUAAUC